rnacentral:misc_RNA from 1 species
GUAGGUGAACCUGCGGAAGGAUCAUUAAUAAUCGGCGAAGCUUUCGAGCCUAGCUUUAAAAUAUGAUAUACACCUGUGAACUAUUUGCCUUCGGGCACCAAACCAAACAUAAUGUCAAUGAAUGUAAACAUAUUAUAACAAAUAUAACUUUCAACAACGGAUCUCUUGGCUCUC